GAUGAACGCUAGCGGCAGGCUUAAUACAUGCAAGUCGUGGGGCAGCGCAGGUAGCAAUACUGGGCGGCGACCGGCAAACGGGUGCGGAACACGUACACAACCUUCCGAGAAGUGGGGAACAGCCCAGGGAAAUUUGGAUUAAUACCCCGUAACAUAACGAUGUGGCAUCACAUUGUUAUUAUAGCUUCGGCGCUUCUUGAUGGGUGUGCGGCUGAUUAGAUAGUUGGCGGGGUAACGGCCCACCAAGUCUACGAUCAGUAGCUGAUGUGAGAGCAUGAUCAGCCACACGGGCACUGAGACACGGGCCCGACUCCUACGGGAGGCAGCAGUAAGGAAUAUUGGUCAAUGGACGCAAGUCUGAACCAGCCAUGCCGCGUGAAGGAUUAAGGUCCUCUGGAUUGUAAACUUCUUUUAUCUGGGACGAAAAAAGGCGAUUCUUCGUCACUUGGCGGUACCAGAUGAAUAAGCACCGGCUAACUCCGUGCCAGCCGCCGCCGUAAAAC
rnacentral:rRNA from 1 species